rnacentral:misc_RNA from 1 species
UUUUUGUACUGACUCUUUCUUGCUUGAGUGUCUUGAAUGUGACAUGGCGUCCAUCAAGAUAUAUCACGUCCUUCUGUAAAACUGUUUUUAAUGACAGUGGUUUCAUUUUGCAUUUUAUUACUGAGGCCGUAAUAAAUCGUACAUUUGCAUUGAUGGUAAUGCAUGCAAGGAAACCUCAGCGAAUAAGUGAUGGGUACUUUGAGAAGCAUCAGUCCCAUCCGUAUCAGAAAUACAAUUCAAAAAGUGAAAGAAGGGCAACCCAUGAUUAUGUCUCUUCUGAAAGCCGAUACACUCCUCUUCGAUCCCCUAAUGGUAAUGUGUCAGGCCAUGGUCACAACACACACUCGAGUCAGUCAGGCCACGGACACCACCACUACAGUCACGUGGCCGAUGACCGAGGAUAUCCAUCAUCCAGGAAUGCAUACCUGCAGAAGGGUUCUGAAAAGGAGAGAGAUAGAGACUACAAAUCCUCUAGAAAUAAGUAUACAGAUAGUGUUAGAUCACCGAAGGAACGUAGCAAAGACAGUGAAAGGGAGAGAAGUAAUCAUGAGCGACAUGAACCUGAUAAAAAGAAUAGGACUAGUGGCAUGAACAUUAGUGUUAGUAGGAGUAGUAAAUAUGACAAGAGAAGUGCGCCUUCAGCAAGCGUGUCUUCUGGACGCGAGUGGUCAGAACACAUUAGUUCAUCGGGGAAGAAGUAUUAUUAUAACUGUAUCAGUGAAGUGUCACAGUGGGAAAAGCCUCGAGAAUGGGACUCCAGGAGAACUUCAUCCAAAGAUUCUACAUAUUCAUCCAGAAGCAGUCGGGAUAAGAGAUCAAGGUCCCGAUCUGGGAGAAGAGAAGCAGAAAAAUCUAGUAAAAGAACGAAUAGUGCUUCAGACCGGUACUGGAACAGCAGUAGAGAUGAAGUGCACGAUCGAACUAGACCAAAACAUUCGGCGACUCCACAUGACGGGAAAGAUGGACAUUCGUUACAAGAUAUGGACAUCUCCCCGGACAGGAGUACACCCCUCUCUGAAAAUUCGUAUGGAGCCAGAGAGUCUAAUUCCACUGCACGCCAUAAUGCAGAUAACAAUGCAGUUCCGCCUGUUGUUGUGCUGGAUAACUCAAAUCAACCGAGUGGGUCGUUACUCGCGGCGGCGCUGCCACGAAUCGUUGCCGUUCCUCCGCCUGUAACGUUACCAGCAAUGAACAAUAACGGUGCGGCGGGGUCCCCCAUUGGCGACGGUAACCGCAGUGGCUCGGGGACCCCGCACCGGGACCCGGGGCCCCCAACGCCCACACAUUCGGAAAAUAUAGACCCACACGCUCCACCAUUACACCUAGAUACAGCGUUACCUAGAAAAAUGGAAUGCUUAGGAAGUUAUUCGCAAGUAGUAGGUGGUAAUCUGCACCACGCCCCGCCGAUGUUGACGCCAUCUCUCGUCAACUACGUGCGGACGGACCUUACAUCACACGUAAAUGGUUGGCCUGCGGAUAUCUUAGAGAAACAGGCUAACAAGUUCACUGAAGAGGCAUACCAGUUGGGGUGUCUGCAGUGCACACGGGUAUCGUCUGAGCUCAAGUGUUCGAGGUCACUUGUCCGCCAUACGGAAAUACGGGCCACUUUACAGGAACAAAAAAUAAUGUACCUGCGGCAGCAGAUCUCACGGCUAGAGGAGCUCAAGUCGCAGAACUCGUUCAUGUCGGAGGACUAGGAGUUGUGGCGGGGAGGAGGCGCUCCCCCGCCGCUCCCCUCGCGCCGCCGCCUCCGCGCGCUGCACUCCCCUCCCUCCCGGGGGAACAUUCACAUGUCAAUGCUAAACAUUGUUCAUUCCGUUCACUUUCUAUGUAAUUUAGAUCGAAUGAUUACUAUUAUUUUGUGUGAUUUGAUGUUAAAUUGUAAGCCAUGAUGUGAGAUUUGCCACAAUUAUUCAUUUAUUGUCUAAUUUGCUUGUUUAAAUCAAGGUUCAAAAUUCUUCGGCUUCAGUAUCGUUUGUAUCAUGGCGUUGAUUAAUCAAUAUAAUUAUGUAAUACAAAAGAAGUAUGUUUUGAUGAAACUUGUUUAUGUAGAUAGGUUAAGUAGGUAUGACUGGACAACCGGCGCAGCGCGCGUCAAUUCUACCUUCAAUUAUAUUUCUUUCCCAUUUAACCAAAUAAUAUUUUUUGAAAAAAAUAAUUGAACUUUAAUUAUCAAGAUUUCAGUAAAAUCUUAAAAUAAUGAAUAAUGUAUUAUCGUAAUGUCCGUUGAUUCAUUCUUAGAUUAUAAUAAUUAUUUGUCUGUGUAAGGGUACUACAGUCUUUUGUAAUGUGUUUACUAUAAAAAAGAGCUAUUCAGUAAUGUAUUUGGUAGAGAAUGAUUUCAAUAGUUCAUACGCAUUAUCUAAAUAACAUAUUGCAGUUAGUGUUCACAUAGUGGAAUAUAAUCGGUCUCGUUGCUCAUGCGUGUGCCGCAAGAUAUUACUUAUCGCUGCAAUUUAGUGCAAUUUUUUUACAGAACCAAGUAUUUUAGCAUAAUACUUAAAUGAUUUUGAAUCUGUAACAUUUAUUGAGUAUUCCAUCAAGCUUUAUAAUUUGUCAAGAGAAGUAACUUUGCAAGCUUUGUAUUAAAAGUGCAACACAGUGAAGUGAUACAUAAACUGUUAACUCAUGAGUAACAUAGCGAAUUAUUUAGGUAAACCAAACUCCGGUCUAGGUCCUCUUAUUUUUCUAAUUGUAUAGGGUUAAUAUAUUAUGUUUGAACUGCUGAAAUUAAAACACCAAUACAUACAUAUAUUAACUAAAUAAAUCAAUCAAAGGAAAUACUACUGUGAUAUUCAUUAUUUCACACGUAAUAGACGAUUUAAGUAAACUUUAUGUAUAAAAGGCCUGUGUGGAGAAUAAUUAGUAUGCACACUGUUUAUAAAUCACUUAAUUUAUAUUUAAGGGCUUCUGGAAUCAGGUCUCUGAAAAUUGAAAAGGAACCCGAAACGUCGCACCGCAGCCGUCGUCUAACUGUAUUUUAGUGUUAACAAGGGACCUGUCAAAUCGCCCGCCGUAAACUUAGGAUAGUCAUAUUUGAAGUUAAUAUAUUAUGCGACCUUGGAACGUCGCCUCCACGCAGGACUUGUUUAGAAUUUUUUUUCUUUCCACAUUCUGUAAACUCUGUCAGGUAGAAGUUAGUCAAACAUUCUUCGUUCGUUUUAUUAAAAUCUUUGUCAAGAUGAACGAAACGCAGAAUGCUUGGCCAGCACUAUCUACGCGAGUUUUAACAUUGUGACAUUUUUUUCACAUAGAGUUAAUAUGAACCGGAUUAAAUAAAUCAGUUUCUGAGAA